GACUACAGGGGUAUCUAAGCCUGUUCGCUCCCCACGCUUUCGCGUCUCAGCGUCAGUACCGUACUAGAGAACCGCCUUAGCCACGGGUGUUCUUCCUGAUAUCUGCGCAUUUCACCGCUACACCAGGAAUUCCAUUCUCCUCUUCCGGACUCUAGCCAAACAGUUUCCAUCGACGUCUAGAGGUUAAGCCUCUAGUUUUCACAACGGACUUGUCUGGCCGCCUACACGCUCUUUACGCCCAAUAAAUCCGGACAACGCUUGCCCCCUACGUAUUACCGCGGCUGCUGGCACGUAGUUAGCCGGGGCUUCUUCUGCAGGUACCGUCACCCUCUGGGCUAUUAACCCGAGUGGCUUCGUCCCUGCUGAAAGAGGUUUACAACCCGAAGGCCUUCUUCCCCCACGCGGCGUCGCUGCGUCAGGCUUUCGCCCAUUGCGCAAGAUUCCCCACUGCAGCCGCCCGUAGG
rnacentral:rRNA from 1 species